rnacentral:rRNA from 1 species
GAGGGGAGCAAUCCCUGAUCGAGUGGCAAACGGGUGAGUAACACGUGGGUGACCUGCCUUCGAGUGGGGGAUAACGUCCCGAAAGGGACGCUAAUACCGCAUAAUAUCCUGCUUUUGGAAAAGCGGACAUCAAAGCUGGGGAUCGCAAGACCUGGCGCUUGAAGAGGGGCCCGCGCCUGAUUAGCUAGUUGGUGAGGUAACGGCUCACCAAGGCGACGAUCAGUAUCCGGCCUGAGAGGGCGGACGGACACACUGGGACUGAGACACGGCCCAGACUCCUACGGGAGGCAGCAGUGGGGAAUUGUUCGCAAUGGGCGCGAGCCUGACGACGCAACGCCGCGUGGAGGACGAAGAUCUUCGGG